CCUACGGGUGGCUGCAGUGGGGAAUAUUGCACAAUGGGCGCAAGCCUGAUGCAGCCAUGCCGUGUGUGUGAAGAAGGCCUUCGGGUUGUAAAGCACUUUCAGCGGGGAGGAAGGCGGUGAGGUUAAUAACCUCAUCGAUUGACGUUACCCGCAGAAGAAGCACCGGCUAACUCCGUGCCAGCAGCCGCGGUAAUACGGAGGGUGCAAGCGUUAAUCGGAAUUACUGGGCGUAAAGCGCACGCAGGCGGUCUGUCAAGUCGGAUGUGAAAUCCCCGGGCUCAACCUGGGAACUGCAUUCGAAACUGGCAGGCUAGAGUCUUGUAGAGGGGGGUAGAAUUCCAGGUGUAGCGGUGAAAUGCGUAGAGAUCUGGAGGAAUACCGGUGGCGAAGGCGGCCCCCUGGACAAAGACUGACGCUCAGGUGCGAAAGCGUGGGGAGCAAACAGGAUUAGAUACCCCUGUAGUC
rnacentral:rRNA from 1 species